GAUGAUGUUGUCCUAAGAUUAUCAUCUCUAAGUUUUCUUGAUGCUGUAUCAAAGACAUGCAUUGAGAGCUGAAGAAGCAUCUCAUCACUGCUAGCUAUGUUGAUGAUGAAACAUCCAUGCUACAUGAGAUGGCUAAGAAUGCCUCGAUAACGGUUCUUGGUGAAACGACAUCCCACAAUAGUGUGAAUCUCACUUGGCCUUUAGUGUGAAUCUCAACCCUCUUAAUAGUGUUCGUCAGAGGAAAAAUGUGCUGAACCCUAAGCCGCUUAUCCUGAUCUCAUGUUUUAGCUCUGUAAAGAAGUUGCACACAGUGUGAGAUUUCAGUUGCCAUAAACAUUUAAGAUAGAUCUUAAUCAAAAUAUUUUUUCUACAA